CACGUUUGGACGCGUGCUCUACUUGCGACUGCCAGCGCACCAUUCGUACGUGUGUGUGUGUGUGCGUGUGCGUUGCGUUACUGUUGCGUGUAUUUGCCGCCGAUGUCGCAACAAGCUUCAAGUUGAGCAUUAUCCAAAGAUCAAAUGCCACAACUGCCGCAGUCAAAUCAAACAUCAACAUCGUCAACAAAUUGUAAUUUUAGCCGCUCUGAAAAACUAAAAAAAAUCACUUUGAAUUAUUUGAUUAAAUUAGUGUUUGAACUGUGCACUCCAAAAAUAACUGCAAACUGCAAGCGAUAGUUUCCAUAAAAAAUAUAUUUAUAAAUUAUCAAAAAAUAUUCAAAAAGCAACAGCAAAUAUUUAAUAAAUAUUAUCAUAAUGCUUGUGCAAAAUUCAAAUUCAACACAAAUUACCAAUUAUUGCCGUUAAAUUUGGAAAUCAGCCCAGGUGGUGAACGCCUUUCCGGGUCGGACUUCAAAUUAAUUGUAUGCUUGCUUCUCAUUGUGGCUGCCGCAUAGUGCGGCACACAUAAGAAAUGUUGCCCCAUCAAUCGCCGCUCGGCUUUGUGGUUGCUGUUGCUGUCGGCAGCUGCUGUUGCAGUUUGGUAUAUAAAAUAUGACCAUAGCGUCGCAGGACAGUCAAAGGCAACUCAUCAGCAUCUGCCAUGAGAUGGCUUUCACACACAAACGAAUUUAUGGAAUACAAUUUGCAUAUUUUACUUUGGAAGAGGCGAACUUUCAAAAUCAACAUGUGCACUUUUUAAUACACUGAAUCCACUUAAAAUUACAUAAAAGGGUAUAAUUAUGAUGUGGAAAUGUAGAUAGCAUCCAGAACGAAACAUCCAGACACCAUAAGCUAUUCAAAUGUUUUUUUUUAUCAGCAUUAAAUAUAUCAGAGAAUAAAAAAGCUAAAGACUUCCGAUUUAUUUAGAAAAUAUAAGCUCUUAUAUACCACGCGACCAUUGAUUCUCUUUCAUUAGAUCGAUAAC